GCCGGACUCAAAUGAGCAGCUCCAUGAUCUGUGGGGGGAGGGGGGCUAAUUAGUAGCAGCAGGGAAUAAUUUAGCACCGGCCUCUGCUCCUCGACUAGUGAACUGCCGCUGAUUUACUGGGAGAAAACUAAUCUGAGGCAUCCAGCAGAGCUCCAGUGUAGAAGAAAUCAGAUCUUUGCAUCUAUGGCCAGCUUUAAUUGGCUUUGAGCAGAGAACACAGGACAGCUAACAGACAUUCCCCCUGGAGGUUCUUCAUCACAAAGUGCAGCAUUCUGAGCAUCAAGAUAAAGUACAAGAGAGAUGUCAGCUACUGGAUUCUUUUAACUUCUUUUUUUCAUCAGCUGCUUAAUUUAUAUAACUGUAAAGAAAUGCAGCUAUUUAUAUAGGGCCCUGAUGCAGUCAUAUCUGUGUGUGUAUAUGUGACUGUGCAGCCUUUCAGUAAAUGCUUAGAGAUACAUUUAAUCCUCCAGUAUGAAUAGUCAUUUAGCACAUGAUCAAAUGCUUUCUUCAGUGAUAUUUUGUAAGAUGUAGGCAAAUAUUGUUUGCAAAAAAAGACUGACAGUAUAGUAACAUGGGCAGAACCAGUGUCAGACUUGGGGUCCUGGGCCCACUGGGACUGUUACCUCGGGGGCCCCCGCACAGUGUCGGACUGGGACACCAGGGGCCCACCCAAAGACCUUAGACCAGGGGCCU